rnacentral:tRNA from 1 species
GGUAAUUAGUUUAAUCAAAACAAAUGAUUUCGACUCAUUAGAUUAUGAUAAACAUUAUAAUUACCA